AGAGUUUGAUCCUGGCUCAGGAUGAACGCUGACAGAAUGCUUAACACAUGCAAGUCAACUUGAACUUCGGUUUGGGUGGCGGACGGGUGAGUAACGCGUAAAGAACUUGCCUCACAGUUAGGGACAACAUUUGGAAACGAAUGCUAAUACCUGAUAUUAUGAUUUUAGGGCAUCCUAAGAUUAUGAAAGCUAUAUGCGCUGUGAGAGAGCUUUGCGUCCCAUUAGCUAGUUGGAGAGGUAACGGCUCACCAAGGCGAUGAUGGGUAGCCGGCCUGAGAGGGUGAACGGCCACAAGGGGACUGAGACACGGCCCUUACUCCUACGGGAGGCAGCAGUGGGGAAUAUUGGACAAUGGACCAAAAGUCUGAUCCAGCAAUUCUGUGUGCACGAUGACGUUUUUCGGAAUGUAAAGUGCUUUCAGUUGGGAAGAAAAAAAUGACGGUACCAACAGAAGAAGUGACGGCUAAAUACGUGCCAGCAGCCGCGGUAAUACGUAUGUCACAAGCGUUAUCCGGAUUUAUUGGGCGUAAAGCGCGUCUAGGUGGUUAUGUAAGUCUGAUGUGAAAAUGCAGGGCUCAACUCUGUAUUGCGUUGGAAACUGCAUGACUAGAGUACUGGAGAGGUAAGCGGAACUACAAGUGUAGAGGUGAAAUUCGUAGAUAUUUGUAGGAAUGCCGAUGGGGAAGCCAGCUUACUGGACAGAUACUGACGCUAAAGCGCGAAAGCGUGGGUAGCAAACAGGAUUAGAUACCCUGGUAGUCCACGCCGUAAACGAUGAUUACUAGGUGUUGGGGGUCGAACCUCAGCGCCCAAGCUAACGCGAUAAGUAAUCCGCCUGGGGAGUACGUACGCAAGUAUGAAACUCAAAGGA
rnacentral:rRNA from 1 species